UACGAAGGGGGGCUAGCGUUGCUCGGAAUCACUGGGCGUAAAGGGUGCGUAGGCGGGUCUUUAAGUCAGGGGUGAAAUCCUGGAGCUCAACUCCAGAACUGCCUUUGAUACUGGCUAUCUUGAGUUUGGGAGAGGUGUGUGGAACUCCGAGUGUAGAGGUGAAAUUCGUAGAUAUUCGGAAGAACACCAGUGGCGAAGGCGACACACUGGCCCAAUACUGACGCUGAGGCUCGAAAGCGUGGGGAGCAAACAGG
rnacentral:rRNA from 1 species